rnacentral:rRNA from 1 species
UACGGAGGGUGCAAGCGUUAUCCGGAUUCACUGGGUUUAAAGGGUGCGUAGGCGGCCAACUAAGUCAUACGUGAAAUCCCUCGGCUUAACCGGGGAACUGCGUCUGAUACUGGAUGGCUUGAGAUUGGGAGAGGGAUGCAGAAUUCCAGGUGUAGCGGUGAAAUGCGUAGAUAUCUGGAGGAAUACCGGUGGCGAAGGCGGCAUCCUGGACCGGCAUUGACGCUGAUGAGCGAAAGCUAGGGGAGCAAACGGG